rnacentral:rRNA from 1 species
UACGUAGGAUCCGAGCAUUAUCCGGAGUGACUGGGUGUAAAGAGUUGCGUAGGUGGCAUGGAAAGUCGAUAGUGAAAUCUGGUGGCUCAACCAUUUAGGCUAUUAUCGAAACUUCCACGCUCGAGACCGUUAGGGGUAACUGGAAUUUCUAGUGUAGGAGUGAAAUCCGUAGAUAUUAGAAAGAACACCGAUAGCGUAGGCAGGUUACUGGGACGGUUCUGACACUAAGGCACGAAAGCGUAGGGAGCAA